rnacentral:rRNA from 1 species
GAUGAACGCUGGCGGCGUGCCUAAUACAUGCAAGUCGAGCGAACGGACGAGAAGCUUUCUUUUCUGAUGUUAGCGGCGGACGGGAGAGUAACACGUGGAUAACCUACCUAUAAGACUGGGCUAACUUCAGCGAACCGGAGCUAAUAUCGGAUAAUAUUUUGAACCACAUUGUUCAUAAGUAAAAGACGGUCUUGCUGUCGCUUAUAGAUGGAUCCGCGUUGCAUUAUCUAGUUGGUAAGGUAGCGGCUUACCCACGCAACGAUGCAUAGCCGACCUGAGAGCGAGAUUGGUCAGAUUGGCAGUGAGAAACGGUAGAGACUCCUACGGGGGGAAGCAGCAGAGAAUCUUACGCAAGGGGGGAGAGCGUGACGGAGCAACGCCGCGGGAGUGAUGAAGGUGUUCGGAUCGUAAAACUCUGUUAUUAGGGAAGAAGAUAUGUGUAAGUAACUGUGCACAUCUUGACGGUACCGAAUCAGAAAGCCACGGCUAACUACGUG